CACGGAGUUAGCCGAUGCUUUUUCUUCGGAUACACGCAGUCCGGGACACGUCCCGGGUUUUGUUCUCCGACAAAAGAGGUUUACAACCCAUAGGGCCGUCUUCCCUCACGCGGCUUGGCUGGUUCAGGAUCUCUCCCAUUGACCAAUAUUCCUCACUGCUGCCUCCCGUAGGAGUCUGGUCCGUGUCUCAGUACCGGUGUGGGGGACCUUCCUCUCAGAACCCCUACGCAUCGUCGCCACGGUGGGCCGUUACCCCGCCGUCAAGCUAAUGCGCCGCAUGCCCAUCCUCUUCCGAUGAAUCUUUCCUCGAUCUCGGAUGCCCGAAACCGAUAUACGCGGGAUUAGCCUCCCUUUCGGAAGGUUGUCCCCCUGAAGAGGGCAGGUUGCAUACGUGUUACUCACCCGUGCGCCGGUCGCCGGCAAGGAAAGCAAGCUUCCCUCCCGAUGCCCCUCGACUUGCAUGUGUUAAGCCUGCCGCUAGCGUUCAUCCUGAGCCAGGAUCAAACUCU
rnacentral:rRNA from 1 species